rnacentral:rRNA from 1 species
GACGAACGCUGGCGGCGUGCUUAACACAUGCAAGUCGAACGCGCCUGUCCUCUGGGUUUUUGUGGGGUGGGUGAGUGGCGAACGGGUGAGUAACACGUUAGUAACCUCUCCCCUUCUUCGGGAUAACGGUCUGAAAGGUCUGCUAAUCCCGUGUUUUCUCUGGUCUCCGCGUGGGGUCUGGUGGGAAGGUUUUUUUCUGGUGGCGGGUUGGCUCGCGGCCUAUUAGCUUGUUGGUGGGGUGAUGGCCUACCAAGGCUUUGCCGGCUAGGCGGCCUGAACGGGUGACCGGUCAAAGUGGGAAUGAGAUAGGGCCCAGAAUCAGACGGGAGGAAGGAGGGGGGAAUAAUGGGCAAUGGGGGAAAGCAGGAUGGAGGGACGCAGCGUGAGGGAUGGAGGCCUUCGGGUUGUGAACCUGUUGCGACCGUGGUCAAGCAGGGACGUAGGUCGUGGUGAAGGUAAUGGGUAAAGAAGCGCCGGCUAAAUACGUG